UACGUAGGGUGCGAGCGUUGUCCGGAAUUAUUGGGCGUAAAGAGCUCGUAGGCGGCCUGUUACGUCUGCUGUGAAAUCCCGGGGCUUAACCCCGGGCGUGCAGUGGAUACGGGCAGGCUGGAGGCAGGCAGGGGAGAACGGAAUUCCCGGUGUGAGCGGUGAAAUGCGCAGAUAUCGGGAGGAACACCGGUGGCGAAGGCGGUUCUCUGGGCCUGUACUGACGCUGAGGAGCGAAAGCGUGGGGAGCGAA
rnacentral:rRNA from 1 species